CUGAGGCGUGACGACGAGGCACUACGGUGCUGAAGCAACAAAUGCCCUGCUUCCAGGAAAAGCCUCUAAGCAUCAGGUAACAUCAAAUCGUACCCCAAACCGACACAGGUGGUCAGGUAGAGAAUACCAAGGCGCUUGAGAGAACUCGGGUGAAGGAACUAGGCAAAAUGGUGCCGUAACUUCGGGAGAAGGCACGCUGACACGUAGGUGAAGUGAUUUACUCAUGGAGCUGAAGUCAGUCGAAGAUACCAGCUGGCUGCAACUGUUUAUUAAAAACACAGCACUGUGCAAACACGAAAGUGGACGUAUACGGUGUGACGCCUGCCCGGUGCCGGAAGGUUAAUUGAUGGGGUCAGCGCAAGCGAAGCUCCUGAUCGAAGCCCCGGUAAACGGCGGCCGUAACUAUAACGGUCCUAAGGUAGCGAAAUUCCUUGUCGGGUAAGUUCCGACCUGCACGAAUGGCGUAAUGAUGGCCAGGCUGUCUCCACCCGAGACUCAGUGAAAUUGAACUCGCUGUGAAGAUGCAGUGUACCCGCGGCAAGACGGAAAGACCCCGUGAACCUUUACUAUAGCUUGACACUGAACAUUGAGCCUUGAUGUGUAGGAUAGGUGGGAGGCUUUGAAGUGUGGACGCCAGUCUGCAUGGAGCCGACCUUGAAAUACCACCCUUUAAUGUUUGAUGUUCUAACGUGGACCCGUAAUCCGGGUUGCGGACAGUGUCUGGUGGGUAGUUUGACUGGGGCGGUCUCCUCCUAAAGAGUAACGGAGGAGCACGAAGGUUGGCUAAUCCUGGUCGGACAUCAGGAGGUUAGUGCAAUGGCAUAAGCCAGCUUGACUGCGAGCGUGACGGCGCGAGCAGGUGCGAAAGCAGGUCAUAGUGAUCCGGUGGUUCUGAAUGGAAGGGCCAUCGCUCAACGGAUAAAAGGUACUCCGGGGAUAACAGGCUGAUACCGCCCAAGAGUUCAUAUCGACGGCGGUGUUUGGCACCUCGAUGUCGGCUCAUCACAUCCUGGGGCUGAAGUAGGUCCCAAGGGUAUGGCUGUUCGCCAUUUAAAGUGGUACGCGAGCUGGGUUUAGAACGUCGUGAGACAGUUCGGUCCCUAUCUGCCGUGGGCGCUGGAGAACUGAGGGGGGCUGCUCCUAGUACGAGAGGACCGGAGUGGACGCAUCACUGGUGUUCGGGUUGUCAUGCCAAUGGCACUGCCCGGUAGCUAAAUGCGGAAGAGAUAAGUGCUGAAAGCAUCUAAGCACGAAACUUGCCCCGAGAUGAGUUCUCCCUGAGACUUUAGAGUCUCCUGAAGGAACGUUGAAGACGACGACGUUGAUAGGCCGGGUGUGUAAGCGC
rnacentral:rRNA from 1 species